rnacentral:rRNA from 1 species
AUUGAACGCUGGCGGCAUGCCUUACACAUGCAAGUCGAACGGCAGCACGGGAGCAAUCCUGGUGGCGAGUGGCGAACGGGUGAGUAAUAUAUCGGAACGUGCCCGGUCGUGGGGAUAACGUAGCGAAAGCUACGCUAAUACCGCAUACGAUCUACGGAUGAAAGCGGGGGAUCGCAAGACCUCGCGCGAUUGGAGCGGCCGAUAUCAGAUUAGGUAGUUGGUGAGGUAAAGGCUCACCAAGCCGACGAUCUGUAGCUGGUCUGAGAGGACGACCAGCCACACUGGGACUGAGACACGGCCCAGACUCCUACGGGAGGCAGCAGUGGGGAAUUUUGGGACAAUGGGCGCAAGCCUGAUCCAGCAAUGCCGCGUGCAGGAUGAAGGCCUUCGGUU